rnacentral:misc_RNA from 1 species
GACACAGGAAACUGCUGUUGGAGGUAAGGAUCGCAGUCUUUUGUGUUAUUGUUUUAAAUUGGUUUGAGAUUUAUUGCCUUAUUUUGAUGAAUUAAAUUAAAAUGAGUGUUUACUGGUAAUUAGUAUCUAAGUUCUGUUCCGUACAUACGAGUGGUGUGAUGGCUGAAAUCAUUUAUGAAUUUGAUGCUUAUUAAAGUGGAAAGUGUGAGUAUUGAUAUUCUCAUGAAAAACUUCGUCGAAUUUGAUAAUCUGAUGAUCAAGGCUUUGUUAGAACCAUAAUUGAAUACUAAUGACAAUAACAAUUGUUGAGAAAGCAAUAUAUUUGGUGCUGGAGGAAAUGCAUACCAUGAAGGGCUAGAGAGCAGUUGAGAUUUUAUUUCGGGAUGUGAACAUAAGUAAACACUGUAAAGGCAUAAAAAUUUUCCAAUCUAUUUGUUUUAGUUUCUUGUUGUUCAAGCCCAAGGCCAAGCCCAGUUUGAUGGUAGCCAGCUACCCUAUGAUAUCAGAUGGUAACUAACCUAAACUAAGGGGAAAAUUAUUAAGCAUAGAAUGGAAAUAA